UACAGAGGGGGCAAGCGUUGUUCGGAAUUACUGGGCGUAAAGGGCGCGUAGGCGGCCCGCUAAGUCAGACGUGAAAUCCCUCGGCUUAACCGGGGAACUGCGUCUGAUACUGGAUGGCUUGAGUUUGGGAGAGGGAUGCGGAAUUCCAGGUGUAGCGGUGAAAUGCGUAGAUAUCUGGAGGAACACCGGUGGCGAAGGCGGCAUCCUGGACCAACACUGACGCUGAGGAGCGAAAGCCAGGGGAGCAAACGGG
rnacentral:rRNA from 1 species